rnacentral:rRNA from 1 species
AUUGAACGCUGGCGGCAGGCCUAACACAUGCAAGUCGAGCGGAUGAGAGGAGCUUGCUUCUCGAUUCAGCGGCGGACGGGUGAGUAAUGCCUAGGAAUCUGCCUGGUAGUGGGGAACAACUUUUCGAAAGGAACGCUAAUACCGCAUACGUCCUACGGGAGAAAGCAGGGGACCUUCGGGCCUUGCGCUAUCAGAUGAGCCUAGGUCGGAUUAGCUAGUUGGUGAGGUAAUGGCUCGCCAAGGCGACGAUCCGUAACUGGGCUGAGAGGAUGAUCAGUUACACUGGAACUGAGACACGGUCCAGACUCCUACGGGAGGCAGCAGUGGGGAAUAUUGGACAAUGGGCGAAAGCCUGAUCCAGCCAUGCCGCGUGUGUGAAGAAGGUCUUCGGAUUGUAAAGCACUUUAAGUUGGGAGGAAGGGUUGUAGAUUAAUACUCUGCAAUUUUGACGUUACCGACAGAAUAAGCACCGGCUAACUCUGUGCCAGCCGCCGCAGUAACAC